AGAUCUCACCUAAGAAAUGUUGAAGGAUGAAUGACAUGGUUAGUUCCUGAUCUAUUCAUAUUUGGAAAAUUAUCCCUUACGGUGUUUGAUUAAAUUCUUCUGUAAUUUACAUAGAUAUUGUAUUUUCUGUGUCAUUUAUGCAAACAUAAAAUACUUUCAAAGAUUUAAACCCUUAAGAUUAAGGUAAGGGCCCGUUUGAUCAGUUCAUUUUUAGUUUAGUUCCAUUUUCUUGCUAGAGAUAGAGAGAAAGUAGAUGGAAGGACAGAGGAACCAAGAAUGUGGAGAGUGUGGUGGGAGGGAGGGGGGAGAAAUGCACAUGGGAUGGCAUACAAAGAGAAAACCAAAAACUAAAAAGUGAAAACCUGUAUAAAAUUGUUUUCAGUUUUUAGUUUUUAGUUUUUAUGUUCUACGCCAUUACACGUCCAUUUUUUCCACAUCCUUCCCACCACCCUUUAACGAUCCUUAUUCAUCCCUCUUUUCUUCCUUGUGUUUCUCUUUAUUUCUAACCAAUAAGUGAACUACGAAGUAAAAAUGAAAUGGUUAUCAAAAGGUCCCAAAAACUGGAAAUUUUGAAUGUAACUUUUGAAAUAAGAAAUUACUAGAUGGGUUUAUUGUUUCAUCCCUAUUGGCCAAUGUCGUAUGCCUGUCAGGAGGAUGGGAUUUAAGAGGUUAUUGCUUAAUGCGUUUAGAGAUUUUUACAUGAGAUGACGAGGCUCACGUGAAGUCUUUUUAAUUUUUUUUGUUUUUCAUUUCAAUCUUUCUAUCAUAUUUUGAAAGUCUGGGGGUGCCACCCAACCCUAGGUACAACUGUUAGCUUACAUUGUGGGAAGCUGGUUAUUAUGAUUUCAUUAAAAGGUCGUACCCAGUGCACAAGGCUCCCGCUUUACGCAGGGUCUGGGAGAGGUGAAUGUCGGCUAGCCUUACCCCCAUUUAUGGAGAGGCUGCUCCCAAGUCUCGAACCCGAGACCUACCGCUCAUGGGCGAAGGCACUUGCCAUCGCACCAAGUGCGACCUCUAUUAUUAUGAUUUCAUUAAUUUUUCUAAAUUCUUUUAACUAAAAACUGUGAGUUUUUGCAGCAAGACCUGCAAAGCUGGUCAAAGAUACUGACAUGACCGCGCCUUGUCCGCCAACAGUUCUUUAUCCGAC
rnacentral:lncRNA from 1 species